rnacentral:rRNA from 1 species
UUAGUAACGGCGAGUGAGCGGUAAAAGCUCAAAUUUGAAAUCUGGUACUUUCAGUGCCCGAGUUGUAAUUUGUAGAAUUUGUCUUUGAUUAGGUCCUUGUCUAUGUUCCUUGGAACAGGACGUCAUAGAGGGUGAGAAUCCCGUUUGGCGAGGAUACCUUUUCUCUGUAAGACUUUUUCGAAGAGUCGAGUUGUUUGGGAAUGCAGCUCAAAGUGGGUGGUAAAUUCCAUCUAAAGCUAAAUAUUGGCGAGAGACCGAUAGCGAACAAGUACAGUGAUGGAAAGAUGAAAAGAACUUUGAAAAGAGAGUGAAAAAGUACGUGAAAUUGUUGAAAGGGAAGGGCAUUUGAUCAGACAUGGUGUUUUUUGCAUGCACUCGCCUCUCGUGGGCUUGGGCCUCUCAAAAAUUUCACUGGGCCAACAUCAAUUCUGGCAGCAGGAUAAAUCAUUAAGAAUGUAGCUACUUCGGUAGUGUUAUAGCUUUUUGGAAUACUGUUAGCCGGGAUUGAGGACUGCGCUUCGGCAAGGAUGUUGGCAUAAUGGUUAAAUGCCGCCCGUCUUGAACCACGGGACCAA